GGCUGGUCCAAUUGUAGUGGGUUACCAGACUUAGUAACAUUAAUAUCCGAUUGUAGUGGGUUACCAGACUUAGUAACAUUAAUAUCACUAAAGUUAGUAUACAGCCCCCCACUGCUAAAUUAGACUGGCUGUAA
ensembl:misc_RNA Y_RNA Y RNA